GGAUCCAGACUUUGAUCCUGGCUCAGGAUGAACGCUAGCUACAGGCCUAACACAUGCAAGUCGAGGGGAAACGGCAGCUUAGCUUGCUAAGCUGGACGUCGACCGGCGCACGGGUGAGUAACGCGUAUCCAACCUGCCCCACGGUGAGGGAUAACCCGCGGAAACGCGGCCUAAUACCUCAUGGUCUCCGAGUUUGCCAUCAACCUUGGAGUAGAGAUUCAUUGCCGUGGGAUGGGGAUGCGUCUGAUUAGCUUGUUGGCGGGGCAACGGCCCACCAAGGCAACGAUCAGUAGGGGUUCUGAGAGGAAAGCCCCCCACAUUGGAACUGAGACACGGUCCAAACUCCUACGGGAGGCAGCAGUGAGGAAUAUUGGUCAAUGGGCGAGAGCCUGAACCAGCCAAGUAGCGUGCAGGAAGACGGCCCUAUGGGUUGUAAACUGCUUUUAUGCGGGGAUAAAGCGGGCGACGUGUCGCCCUUUGCAGGUACCGCAUGAAUAAGGACCGGCUAAUUCCGUGCCAGCAGCCGCGGUAAUACGGAAGGUCCGGGCGUUAUCCGGAUUUAUUGGGUUUAAAGGGAGCGCAGGCCGGGUAUUAAGCGUGUUGUGAAAUGUAGGCGCCCAACGUCUGCACCGCAGCGCGAACUGGUGCCCUUGAGUACGCACGACGUUGGCGGAAUUCGCCGUGUAGCGGUGAAAUGCUUAGAUAUGGCGAAGAACUCCGAUUGCGAAGGCAGCUGACGGGAGCGCUACUGACGCUCAUGCUCGAAAGCGCGGGUAUCGAACAGGAUUAGAUACCCUGGUAGUCCGCGCGGUAAACGAUGGAUGCCCGCUAUUUGCGCAUUAGCGCAAGUGGCCAAGUGAAAACGUUAAGCAUCCCACCUGGGGAGUACGCCGGCAACGGUGCAACUCAAAGGAAUUGACGG
rnacentral:rRNA from 1 species